CAGUCUCUUUUCUACUUAUGAUAUAGUCAAAUAUAUCAACUCUAUUCCUGAUGCAAAACUGGCUGUUUUUCCAAACUUUCCCAUUGAUAUUCUAAGUACUGUCUACCACAUCAUUUAUAAAGGAAGGCAUGUGCAAAUUUCAUAUGUUUAUAUUGUUUUCAUCUGUUUGAACUAUAAAACUUUUUUCAGCCCAUUAUUAUACAUGUAGUAUGUUGUUAUGUUGUACUGUUACACCACUGUCCCGGGUUAGGGAGAGAUUUCGGUACCAGUUUAUAAGUUACAUCUGCCACCUUCUGUGUGUCCCAAAUCGGGG
rnacentral:lncRNA from 1 species